UCUCUGUAACUGCUAUAUUUUUGUGUUAUGAUACAGGUAGUCUUAAGGACUGAACGCAAAUCCAAUCAAGAUAAUGUAUGAUAAAUAGAUAGAGGGUUACAAUUAUGAUAAGGAAGAUUAAGUAUAUUUAUUACAAAUAGAGGGGGGGGAGGGGGUAAGUGAUGCGAGCUAGGGUUGAACAUUCCUUGGUUAUCAUGUUGGACUUCUAUGUUCUUGGUACUGGAUAUCCACUUGUAAGCAUUGGUUGUGCAACAAGGUUUCCUGAACUUUUGAGUUUGUCAUGGUACCAGGCCCUUCCACCCCUGUUGUUUAAUCAUCCUUACAGCAUUAAACCUACUCCUGUAACGCCCUAGCCUGGACUGGCUGUAUCUGUUGGAGAACACCCUGCAGUCCAGCCUCUUCCUGUUAUGAAUUGAGAAUCCUUGAGCUUAGCUUGUACUUGAGAGUUUAAUCUAAAUUGAUAAAGAGGUUUAUGAGUUAUGAUUGAACAUACAAAAAAACCGGAAAAGAUUACUACUUAACUAUUGUAAAUAUCAGGGAUAAGGCGAUAUUCAAACUUCUAGUGGUGUUGCAGGUGUUCCAGGUAUCACACCCAGGUCCCACUCCUCCUGCAUGAAUCUCCCCAUUUGUCCUUAAAAUGCUCACUAUAGUCCUCUUUCAAUUAUAUUGGACAAUGGGUUAUAUGGUGGGGCCUUGAUAUGCAAGAUUUUAAGUUCUGUGAAUAGUUCUUGCCUUAAACUAUUCACAAACCAAAUAUAGCAAAAUGUUCAUGAUUAACACCCUUUGAAACAGUACCAGCUUCCUUUUUGCAUAUGGAUAUGCACUCAUGAACUUUGUGAAUCCAUUUUGGACUGUUAAUAAAUAAUGAUUCUUUCUCACUGUUUCAGAUAUGUCACUAAGUCAAUGAACACUUUCUCCCCUACGUUUCCUUCUGUGCUUGGAACAUUAGGACCCAUCUUUUGCUUAACACUCCUUUCCUUAAAUAAACAUACAUCACAACAUUCCAUUAAUCUUCUGAUCUUGUCAUGUGCAAAAAACCUUCUUUUAAAUUAGUCUAAAUUGCUGCCAUACCCUCAUGACAUAUUUGGAAUGUUUCCUUCAACUUCACUUCUGGUAAACAAAUACCUAAAGCAUUGUAGUGUUUGACUGAAUUGUCUCACUGUAUAAACACUUCAGAAGCUCAUUUCGAAAUUUUCCAUGUAUUCCAGGAUAAUCCAGAUUUUCUACUCUUCAAUAAAGGACUAUUUGACCUAUCAAUUCUGACUGGAGCCAUUUUUAUUCACCAGAAUAUGAAAUUUCCCUUCAGGUUGUAUCUUAAUUCCUGUCUUGAUGUAAGCUUGCACUACCUUCCUGUAAGUUCUAAAUGUUCCCACAUAUCCAGGAUACACCAGGAUAUCAUUUGGGUAUGACAACCAGUAAUCAGCGGGUAAAUGAGCCAUAGCCAGAUACAGCCUCCGGCUACAAACACCUCUGGCAUUGGAUAAGCCAAAAGGCAUGCAUAUGUAACGGAAUUUGCUAUCUCAUUCUCAUCUCUCUUAAAGCUUUCAUGAAUAAACUUCCUCUUACUUUCCUCAGAAGGAUAUUCUGACUCUUGCAUUGAUUUCAAACUAUUUGAUGGCAUUUUUUCUUCAUAUUAACACACAUCCAGUCAGCAUCAAAGAAAUCCUAGAAGAAAACCAGCGGAGACCAAGACUUGUCUAGGAGUUGUUGUUGCAGGACAGCUCUUAUGUGUGAAUCCGAGGCAUCUACGGCGAGAGAGAUUGGCACGUUGCACUGAGUGUGAACCAACUCUGGAUUCUGGAACAGAUGAGAGGAGAUGUUUCGCUCUGAUGAAGGCAGAGUCCAUGAGUGGAGUCCAGGGAAUGGUUUUUCCAGGUCCCUUGAGAGCAUCUGUGAGAGGAGCAAGGACUUAGCCUGCAGCACGGAGAAACUUUCUGUAGAAAUUGAUUAUACCAAGAAACCUCUGGAGACUGUUGAUGUCUGUUGGCUGUGGAAAGGCGGAGAUGGCGGCGGAGUGCUUCAGUAGGGGAGAAAAACCUGAGGUGGAGAGACAGUGGCCAAGGAACUCAAUUUCUUUAACAGCAAACUAACACCUGGGCAGGCCAAUAGUAAGACCAUACGCAUGACAGAGGGGAAACACAUCAUGGAAAUGCUGGACGUGAGAGGGUAGAUCUUUGCUGAAAACCAGGAUGUCUUCUACAUACACAAAACAGUAAUGAAGAUCCCCUAAGAUCUGGUCCAUUACACGUUGAAACGUGUUUCCAGUGUUUCAGAGGCCAAAUGGCAUCACCAAAAAUUAAAACAUCCCGCAUCUGCUUUAAUCCAUCUGCGCACCCCCACUUUUGUAACUCCAAAAGUACUCUGAAAGCUAUUACUAGUCUUAGCUUAAAUUGCUCUGAAUUUAUCCUCUACUGAUUAACAAUUAACAAAAUAAAUGUAGUCUUUAUUUAUGGAA
rnacentral:lncRNA from 1 species